rnacentral:rRNA from 1 species
GUGGGGAAUAUUCCGCAAUGGACGAAAGUCUGACGGAGCAACGCCGCGUGAGUGAUGAAGGUUUUCGGACUGUAAAGCUCUGUUGUUUAGGACGAAAGUGCCUGUUGCGAAUAGUUACAGGUAUUGACGGUACUGAACGAGGAAGCCACGGCUAACUACGUGCCAGCAGCCGCGGAAAUACGUAGGUGGCAAGCGUUGUCCGGAAUUAUUGGGCGUAAAGAGCAUGUAGGCGGGAAUCUAAGUCUGUUGUGAAAAUGCGGGGCUCAACCCCGUAUUGCGAUGGAAACUGGGUUUCUUGAGUGCAGGAGAGGAAAGGGGAAUUCCCAGUGUAGCGGUGAAAUGCGUAGAUAUUAGGAGGAACACCAGUGGCGAAGGCGACUUUCUGGACUGUACCUGACGCUGAGGCGCGAAAGCGUGGGGAGCGAACAGGAUUAGAAACCCUGGUAGUCC